AUUAAAUGCAUAAUUCAUUUUGCAGCUCCAACCUAAUAGGAGUUCGUUAGUUUUAAUGCACUUGCCCGAAUGUCUUUGGGCCAAUGAAGAUAUUUAAUAUUGUAACUAACAGAAGCAGUUCAGGCAGGACGACAUGCCAGGGAAGGAGCAAAGUAACUUUAUUGCAAAGUUCUAGCGAAAAUUAAUUCAUUAGCAUUUUAUUACUCUCCCUCACAGUGAGGCGACAGCAGCCGAUGACGAAGAUUCCCCCAUAGGUACAUUGAUUGCAAAGACAGUCAGCCUCCCACGCACCCCCCUGUUGGUCGUCUUUGCUGCUUUGAUGUGUAAUUAAAUCAAUAAUCACUUUGGAGUCUCCGCCGGCGUCGGGGAGUUUAUUAGUUGAUUGUGCCAGCAGGCGACACAGGUGGAAAGACAAUGCUCCCGAUGGUGGGGAAUUGCUCUUUGGGGCUGCGACGCUUAAAGUGGAGUUCAGGAAACUGUUUUUGGCGGAAACUAAAUUUACAUUUUUAUAAAUUUAUAAAUUGUAUAAAGUAAGACACAGAAUCAU
rnacentral:lncRNA from 1 species